GAGUUUGAUCCUGGCUCAGGAUGAACGCUGGCGGCGUGCCUAAUACAUGCAAGUCGAGCGAACAGAUAAGGAGCUUGCUCCUUUGAAGUUAGCGGCGGACGGGUGAGUAACACGUGGGUAACCUACCUAUAAGACUGGGAUAACUUCGGGGAACCGGAGCUAAUACCGGAUAAUAUUUAGAACCGCAUGGUUCUAAAGUGAAAGAUGGUUUUGCUAUCACUUAUAGAUGGACCCGCGCCGUAUUAGCUAGUUGGUAAGGUAACGGCUUACCAAGGCGACGAUACGUAGCCGACCUGAGAGGGUGAUCGGCCACACUGGAACUGAGACACGGUCCAGACUCCUACGGGAGGCAGCAGUAGGGAAUCUUCCGCAAUGGGCGAAAGCCUGACGGAGCAACGCCGCGUGAGUGAUGAAGGGUUUCGGCUCGUAAAACUCUGUUAUUAGGGAAGAACAAAUGUGUAAGUAACUGUGCACAUCUUGACGGUACCUAAUCAGAAAGCCACGGCUAACUACGUGCCAGCA
rnacentral:rRNA from 1 species